rnacentral:rRNA from 1 species
UGGGGAAUUUUGGACAAUGGGCGCAAGCCUGAUCCAGCCAUGCCGCGUGCGGGAAGAAGGCCUUCGGGUUGUAAACCGCUUUUGUCAGGGAAGAAAUCCUCUGAGCUAAUACCUCGGGGGGAUGACGGUACCUGAAGAAUAAGCACCGGCUAACUACGUGCCAGCAGCCGCGGUAAUACGUAGGGUGCGAGCGUUAAUCGGAAUUACUGGGCGUAAAGCGUGCGCAGGCGGUUGUGCAAGACAGGUGUGAAAUCCCCGGGCUUAACCUGGGAACUGCACUUGUGACUGCACAGCUGGAGUGCGGCAGAGGGGGAUGGAAUUCCGCGUGUAGCAGUGAAAUGCGUAGAUAUGCGGAGGAACACCGAUGGCGAAGGCAAUCCCCUGGGCCUGCACUGACGCUCAUGCACGAAAGCGUGGGGAGCAAACAGGAUUAGAUACCCUGGUAGUCCACGCCCUAAACGAUGUCAACUGGUUGUUGGACGGCUUGCUGUUCAGUAACGUAGCUAACGCGUGAAGUUGACCGCCUGGGGAGUACGGCCGCAAGGUUGA